UCUGCAAAUAUAGGUAAUUGCACUUGCUUCAAAGUUGCGCUGCCUCAACGGUAUAACGGCAAUACGACUCCCCUAUUCUGAGACGUCGAAUAGGCGGGGCGCAUUCUGCGGCACGUCCAAGUUUGCUGUACCAACGAAUACUUUUAUUCACUUCCGCUGGCCGCAACAGGGAUGCCCCGUCCGCAUGACUGACAGUUGUUCGCCUUCCCGGCUGCCGGCUGGAUGGACUGUGCCCAAGAGCACUCUUUCAGCUCACUCGCCAUCGAUACGAACGCUUCAGCAGUGCCUGGUAAUGCCACUUCGCCAGGAAUCAGGCGGUCAACUUCCUUCCGCUAUGACCAGCUUCACCGUUUUCUGCUCCAUCACGCCCUACUGCAACCUGUCGCAGCCGCAGGAACAUCGAGAGUCCUAACAACGCACCUUUUAAAACCAAACGCUGCGCAGCCGCCGUUGAGUGGGCAUAGAAGCACGGGAAAAAUGAGAGGCUCACAAGCGCUCUUCUUCGUUCUGCAGCUUGCUCCAUCAUGCACAAUAUGUGUUGGCCCCACCCCCUCGGCAUUCCCUGCAUACUGGGCACUCCGUACAAGUAACCAGUCCACGCAGCCGUACUACAGCCUUCUCUGCAUCUUUCUUUUGCCGAUCAUCAAC